UAUUGGCGGUGAUGAUUGCUUAACAGCUAAAUAUGCCAGUUCUGCUUCAGAAAAUUCUUGAUUGAUAUAGCUGUCUAAAGCUCUGAGCCUUUG
rnacentral:snoRNA from 1 species